GACAGAGGGGGCAAGCGUUGUCCGGACUGACUGGGCGUAAAGCGCGCGCAGGCGGUCUCGGGCGUCGGUGCUGAAAGUCCACCGCUUAACGGUGGGAAGCGUGCCGAUACGCCGAGACUGGAGGGUGGGCGAGGGUGGUGGAAUUGCCGGUGUAGUGGUGAAAUGCGUAGAGAUCGGCAGGAACACCCGUGGCGUAAGCGGCCACCUAGCCCGCACCUGACGCUGAGGCGCGACAGCGUGGGGAGCGAACGGG
rnacentral:rRNA from 1 species